GUAUGCAGCAUAUAGCUGUAGCAUAUAUGACAUGCACCAAUAGUUUGCUCCUUUGAGAACCAUAGCUAUAUUUUCUACACAUUGAAAUAGUUAACAUUGUCUACAGAAGUUUCAAGCCCUUUCCACCUCUCAGCUGCGAAUAGAAGUGAUAACCCCUCCCUCUAAGAAAUGCAAAGAACAUGCCCUCGCCAAUCGGAAGACUUAACAGAAACACUGUGAGAGAGAGGUGAGAAGUUCUAGACCUGGGAGAAGCUAUUUAGGUCCCUCAAGAGCCCCACAUAAGGAACUGCAGAGUGAGCCUAGCCAGAAAGAUGCUCAGUUUUAAACUGCUUGGAUGAGAAUGCAGUGGCUGUUACAUGUUUUCAUUCGGUUAAUAUUCAGAGAUACAUCUCUAACAAAUGCUUCAUGUGGAGGAAAGAGCUCAAAGCUGGAAGGCGCUCUUCAGAUUAUAAGUGGUUACAAAUGAUAUCAAGCAGGAGAGAAAGAGGAACAUUAAAAAUAAAAAAUUAAAAAUUAACUGUUAAGGUAUCAUUCCAACCUGUUGACAUUCUGGUGGAAUCAAGUCACCCAAAAACUACAAUCAAUGUCACAGAUAAAGAAAGCCUCACGUGUGUUUCUAACCAGCCAACUAUUGCUGAUUUAUUUUUCUCAUUUAACUACUGGACUGUAUUUAAUUGUGGAACAUGUUCAUAUAGUCUGUGUUCUGGGUUAGGUUUAACCCUAUCUGUGAGGGUGUGAUUAUACCAAAGGCUUCCAUUGGUAGACUAGCCCAUUCACCCAAAUAAGUGAAGUCAACACUGUGCCCAGAUGAAUGGUAUUAAAGACAGACUUGCCUAAAAGAAAUGUGCCUUGCUUGAUGAAACAUUCUUUUAUUUUUGAUUCAAAAUGAUAGGUUAACAAAUUAGAUUUUAGGUAGGUUUUAGUUUACCUUAAUUUUACAAAAAGUAUAUUAGUACUUAUUCUGUUUAAAUUGUCUGUGUUAACUAAAAUUAUAAUAUUUAGUUAUACUUAGGCAAUUCAUAUAUAUCAAAUUCUAUUUUAUUUUCACAGGAUAUUUGGUACGGUGAGACAAAGUACAUUCUUAAAGAUAUAUAUAAUAUCUCAUCUGAUAUUUAUAGCUUUUCCUUCAAAAUUAUAUGUGUAUAAGAUUCUUUGACUCAUUUUCUAUUUUUAUAUUCUUUUAGAAUGGAACUCUCUUUCAAUUAAAAAGGGGCAAAUUUUUAAUUGGAAAAGAGACUUGGGAGGUCAUAAAGAUGGCAUCCCAUUUGGGAACAUUUAACUUCUGUGCCAUUAUUGUAUUUACUGUGACAUCUCAGCAGAAUGGUAGCUAUUUGUAUAUUAUUUCAUAAGCCUUAUGGAAAGUCAGACUGUGAACAUUUAUUAUGUACACUUCGUUAUUCAUUUCCAUAGUUUGUCAAAAUAUUCCUGAACAAGUGCAAAAAAAAAUGAGUAUUUUCAGAACUUUAAUAUAAAAGUAUAUCGGUCUCAAAGCCAGGAUUAUAAGUUUUCUGAUGACCUAAAAAAAUUCAAAUGAUGAAUUUCAUUAAUCUAUAAGAAUCUUAACUAAACAGCUAUUUACCUAGUAGCUUCCAAACAGGUAGAAUGCAAUCCAGGUAACUUUCUUUGAGGCAAUGUCUAAAAUGAAUUUUUAAUAAUCUCCUGGUAAUUUCUUUAUGAUCAAAAUAUAUCACUACCAUUUUAGUGAAGAAAAAGGGAUGACAACUAUCUUUGAUUUGAGUGAUGUGAGCCUCCAAUAGAAAUGGUUGUGACUGAAGUGAAAAUAUAGCCACCACCUUGUUUUUGUUAGUGUUCGCUCAUAUAGUAGAGAUAAUGGCACAGGGAAUAGUGAGCUCUUUGCAAUCAUCUGAAUCCUCAGAAAUGAUGGUCACAGCCCCAUUAACAGUAAAGCAAUCCUAGUGGAUGGAAACAAACCAGGGGUUCUUAAAUGUUCAGAUAUUUUUGUAAGGAUCAGUAGGUGUUGCAAAAUUAUACACGAACUACCUUCAUACAAUGACACAACUUUAAGCAACGUAAUAUAUGUAAUAGUAUAUCUGUUUUAUUAUUAUAGGCUACAGUUAGAAUAAAGGCAAAACCUGGACUUUCAACCACACACACACCAAAGAAAAGCACAGAACCGUAUCAGAUGCAUAACAUACCAAAACAUUCACAUGAUGACUGGUAAAAAUAACAUGAUUUUAGAUAACAGGAUACUGGCAUUCUUACCCACCGCCUGCCUCUGGGACCCCCAGGUAAGUCAUCACCAUUGCUAGGCUUUAGUUUCUUGAAUUGCAGAGUGGGCAUGCCAGGCCCAGCAAACUCAAAAGCCCUUUCCAGCUACCAAAUCCUGUUAUACACAUUUCUUUAAAAUGCUUUGAAGAAUACUUACAUACUAAGAUUUUUAUGCAUUUCUAAAGAAUAAAAUGAAAUAAGAUUUAAGCCUUGAAAGUCUCAUGAAUAUAUCUCAUUCUUCAAAUUGUGAGAAGAGGAAAUAGGAUUCCUUCUCCUUUAAGAUUUCACUCAUCUAUAAUAGGAUCAUGAAAAAUGAGGUGGGGGUGGGGCAUCCCUCUGCAGAAGGGAAGCAGUUAAUGAAAUAGCUAACAAGACGGGGCAGGUAUUGGUAACAUUAAUUGGAUGUAAAUGUGAUUUGCACAGAGUACAUGAAAUGCUGAAAUGACCCCAGGACUUGAUUGCACAUUAUGAGACUAAUGGUAGGAAGGGAUGGGAAAGACUGGAGAACAGAAGUGUUUGCCUUAUUGUCUUUUUAUUCAUUUUACUCAUGGUUAGGUGGGGAGCUGCAUUGCAGUGCUGGAUCUGCCAGUCACUCGUUUGCACCAGGAAAGUCCCUUUAACUUCUCAGAACUCCAGUUUCUUAAUCUGUAAAGUGAAGGGUUUAAAUUUGAAUUUAGUCAUCUGCAUAUUUCUUUUCAUCUUCUAAUAUUCUGUAUCAUUUCAGAUUCUUAAAAUAUAUGCAUAUAUGGUACAUAUUGUUGAUCCCUCCAUUAGACACUAUGAUGCCACAUAGUUCUCAAGUACCUGAAUAGAUUAUGAACUCAAGCAUGUAUAUUCCUAAUACUGCUCUUUGACCUCCACAAGACCUCAAAUACUUAGACCUCAAUCUCAUUCAGAUGUGGCUGAAUUAUUAAAACUUGUCACUUCAUCUUUUCAUGUUGAGUUCAUUCCCUAAACAAAUGCCUUCUCAAGUUACUCUCCAUAACUUGUUGUAAUUUAAUACUCAAAUAUAUUGGCAUACCAAUGAACUAUAGCUGACUGUAGGAUACAAUUUUGUCACAUUCAAAUGCCCUUUUGGUCCUAGAAGCUAUUAACUGUAACAUAAAAGAACAUUCAUAAAAUUUUGUCACAUUUAAUUGCCCUUUUGGUCCUAGAAGCUAUUAACUGUAACAUAAAAGAACAUUCAUAAAAUUUUGUGAAUUUUUUAAUACAAAGGAGGCCCGAUGGAGCCAUACUGUAAUUAGUUUUGCUCAGGAGUGAGAAAAACAUUCAGGGAUAACCCAAACACUUCUGUUUGGCAUUAGUGGACACUUGGUAAAAGAAGGGUUAUAUCUUUUGCACAAUAAAGAUAACAGGUAAUAAUACCCAUUAAAAAUGGGAGUAUUUCUGGUGGCUGGCUUUAGUAUAGGAAGAGAUAGGUUAGAAGAAUGCCAGAAUUGGACACUAGAAAAGUUAUUAAAAUGGUAGCGGUCCAUCGAAUAACAGAACUAUUUUGUCAUACUGAGAUUAUUUGUCCAGAAAGUUAGUCUUAUAUCCCUUCCAUUCAGAAAAGGGGGCAGAUUUCAAAUGCCUCUGUCAUAAUAGGAAAUGUAUAUUUUGACUAGUGGAGCAAUUAGCUAAAGCAUUUAAUCUGAUAAUUUUAGUUUUGUGGAUCUGAAUUUUCAUCUUAGGUGUAAUUUAGUCUCUUGCAUAUGUGAUAGUGUCUGUGAUCGUGAGGAAUGAUUUCAUCACUUUUGUUUUUCUUUUAAGUUGAUAAAAUGUGCUAAGUGGUGAUUCCAGCAUACUGUGUUAAUACUGUAUCCUACAACCACUUGUGAACUGACCACAUUAAACAAACCAUAGUGUUUCUCUUCUCGUAAAUCGUUUCUAUGGUGUGAUUGUUUCAUGCUGGGGAUGGGGGUGGGGGAGGUUAAAUAUUUAGUUUACUUAAAAUGUCAAGAUGUUAUUCUUAAAUGCCAUAAAAUUGUGUGACAAUAAACCAAAUAGAAUAUCCUCUUUUUCAGAUGUGAGAGAACUGUAUAGACUACUUUGGGGACUAGCCCAUAAAUGCUGUCAUUUGUGUUUUUAAAAAGCUUAUAUAUUAUAUAUGUAACAUACAAUAUAUACCACAUACAAAGGAAAGCAAGCAGUGUAUGUAGUGUUUCUUGGAAUCUACAUGUGUUUAUUUACAUAGAAUACUUAUGCAUUGCAAAGACCAUCAACAUAGUCUAUUUAGUUUCUAAAACACUCUCCACAUAAAUUACUGAUUACAUUUGGAGUUUGGAGAUAGGACAAUUAAGGUUUUAAAGAAUAAAAUGACUUAUCAUAGAUCAUGUCCCUGUCCGUGGCUCUAAAUAUCAUUCUCUUUACACUUUUCAUGCUGGCAUGUUGUCUGUUCUCUGUCACUGCCAUUCUAUUUCAAACUGAAACAUCAAAAAAUGUGUUGACAUUUUAAGGUUUUAGUGAAAAGGAGUCAUUGGGAUUGUGUUAGACCUUCUUAGAUAACUUCCAAACUGCAUCUACCUUCAUGAAAUACCCAAAGGUUUUAAUAUUUAAUAAAUUAAUAUUAAGUCCCUGCACCCUAAUCAUACACCCAUUCGUUCAUUCAUUUAUUGCCAUCAUGCAAAACUAUAAAAUGUUCUUCAUAUAUCUUUCACUUGCUUUAUUAGAAGCCCAUCAUAACAACUAAUUUCUGAACAGUUUUCUAUAAAGCAACUGGAGCCAUGCUGAUUCAGUGGCACAGCAGUCAUUUUUUUUAGCCUUUUGUUUUUGUAUGAGUGGGAGAAGACAGAAGGGGGUGUGUAUAUUUUAAAGAAACUCUUCAUUUCCAGUAACUUUAUGGAAAUACUGGAUUACUAUGUCGUAGGUAGCAGUUUGUUAACGUUAGACAUAGGUCAAAUUCCAGUAAGCUUUUCACUCAUUUAGUAGUGUACUUAAGGAUUUCCCCAAGUUAUGUUACAACCCAAUGACUUCUCAGUUUGAAUAUGAAGAACAGUCAUGUUGCAAUCCAUGACAGGUACUACACUUUUUUGUUCUCAAACAUCAGGUAGCCACUGGUACUGCUUUCCCUUGUAAAUCAAUAGUCUGUGAUAUGUUUUGUACUUCUCCGUGCAAUGCAGUGUUAACUGUGAAUAUUUAAGUGAAAUGUGCUUAUUAUACUGGCACUUAAUAUUUCCUAACACUUACUUCAGUUUUCCCCAUCAAAUAGGUAAGUCAAUCAAGUAUUAUUUUGUAUGAAAUGAAGUAAUAAUUAUUCUUAAAAACAAUAGUAUUCUAACUACAAUGUCAAAUCAAACAUGCAUUUUAUAUUUUUAUAUUCUUUUUUCUUUUGACAUUGAGUUAGGUCAAUUUACCAUGUAGUAAUAUAAAGGUAGAUUCUUAUACCAUGAUAUCUGCUUAAUUUGAGGCCUUUUGUUAAGUAAAUACCUAUGAGUUUUGAUUGUG
rnacentral:lncRNA from 1 species